UGUACUGCUGCUACCGAUAAAACGUUUGUCAUGCGCCGGCUUUCCGUUUCACAUCCACAUAAUCUGCAGCAUCCUUUAUGUUUCUGUUUUAAAUAAACUUUUCUAGGUGUAGAUUGUGUACUGUUGUUCUCCAUCGAAAUACUGUAUUGUACGCUCCUGGCUAAUUGAAUUUAUAAUAUGCAUAUUUCGCAUGUCGAUUUCAUGUAUAAUUAUUAUAAUUAUGCUAUUUCAGUAAAAGGGAUUUGACCAAUGGGUGAUAAGAACACCGCAGCCGAUGCCAGGGCCUUCUCCAGCUCAAAGGCCCUGGGGACGAGGUUGCCGAAAUCCGAACGAAUCGGAUUCGGAUUUGCACACCUCUAGUAUACAGUAUCCCUGCAUGGUUAUGACAUAUUUUAAUCAGAUCUAAUUUCAUGUCAUAUGCACUUUAAACUGCUUGGUUGAAUUUACCUUGAUAAUGUAUAAUCUUUUAAUCCAACAUGUAAAUUGAUUGCAGUAAAUGUUCCUAUACAACCACGUAACCUUUUAUCUGGUCCAUGACCAAUCUUCCAAGUUACAAACAACGGG